GGCUUUUUAGCUUAAUGGUUAAAGCGAUUCACUGUUAAUGAAUAUAUAUAAGUUCAAUUCUUAUAAGAGCCG